rnacentral:rRNA from 1 species
AUGUCACAUUCCGUAAAAAUUUACGAUACAUGUAUAGGAUGCACUCAAUGUGUACGAGCUUGUCCAACAGAUGUAUUAGAAAUGAUACCCUGGGAU